rnacentral:rRNA from 1 species
AAGACCUCAAAUCAGGUGGGACUACCCGCUGAACUUAAGCAUAUCAAUAAGCGGAGGAAAAGAAACUAACAAGGAUUCCCCCAGUAACGGCGAGUGAAGAGGGAAAAGCCCAAAUUUGUAAUCUGGCUCUUUUAGAGUCCGAGUUGUAAUUUUGAGAACUGUUUUCUGUGCUGGACCAUGUUUAAGUCUGUUGAAAAACAGCAUCAUUGAGGGUGAUAAUCCCGUUCAUGAUAUGGACUACCAGUGCUAUAUGAUACAGUCUCUAAGAGUCGAGUUGUUUGGGAAUGCAGCUCAAAGUGGGUGGUAAAUUCCAUCUAAGGCUAAAUAUAGGUGAGAGACCGAUAGCAAACAAGUACCGUGAGGGAAAGAUGAAAAGAACUUUGGAAAGAGAGUUAACAGUACGUGAAAUUGCUGAAAGGGAAACAAUUGAAGUUAGCCUUGUUAUUUCCAGUUCAACCCUUUUAGGGUGUAUUCUGGUAAUUAACGACCAACAUCAGUCUUUGAGUGCUGGAUAAGGGUUUUGGAAAUGUAGCAGUCUAGGCUGUGUUAUAGUCCAUUACUUUGAUACAGUGCUUAGGAUUGAGGAUCGCAGUAAGCCAAUCUUGGUGGAUCAA